rnacentral:rRNA from 1 species
GACGAACCGUGCGAACGUUGUUCGGAAUCACUGGGCUUAAAGGGCGCGUAGGCGGGCCGGACGGUCCGGGGGUGAAAUCCCCCCCGCUCAACGGGGGAACGGCCCCGGACACCGCCGGCCUCGAGGAAGGUAGGGGCGAGCGGAACGCUGGGUGGAGCGGUGAAAUGCGUUGAUAUCCAGCGGAACUCCGGUGGCGAAGGCGGCUCGCUGGGCCUUUUCUGACGCUGAGGCGCGAAAGCCAGGGGAGCGAACGGG